GAUGAACGCUAGCGGCAGGCCUAAUACAUGCAAGUCGAGGGGCAGCGCAGUGUAGCAAUACAUGGGCGGCGACCGGCAAACGGGUGCGGAACACGUACGCAACCUUCCUUCAAGCGGAGCAUAGCCCAGAGAAAUUUGGAUUAAUACCUCAUAGGAAUGUAGUCUCGCAUGAGACAGCAUUUAAAGAUUUAUCACUUGAAGAUGGGCGUGCGUCUGAUUAGGUAGUUGGUGAGGUAACGGCUCACCAAGCCGACGAUCAGUAACUGGCGUGAGAGCGCGACCAGUCACACGGGCACUGAGACACGGGCCCGACUCCUACGGGAGGCAGCAGUAAGGAAUAUUGGUCAAUGGACGGAAGUCUGAACCAGCCAUGCCGCGUGGAGGAUGAAGGCCCUCUGGGUUGUAAACUUCUUUUAUCUGGGACGAAACACUUCCUUUCUAGGGGGCUUGACGGUACCAGAGGAAUAAGCACCGGCUAACUCCGUGCCAGCAGCCGCGGUAAUAC
rnacentral:rRNA from 1 species